GGUCCCUCCACCUCAAUGGAACAAAAGGGAUGCAUUUUUGUCCUUUUGUUCCGUAAAAUUCGGGUUUCCCGCCACAGGACAACGAGGAAAUAGUUUCUAAAUUACAUCCUAAUUGCAGGAGGGGUCAGCAGAGGGGGGUGGGAUUUUUGGAGGUGGCUACAGACCAACUGAACUUAUAAAAGGGAGACCCCACCCCUAAAGUUCAAUCAGUGUGAGUUUAGAGAGCGAAGAAGUUUCAUGGGUGAACAGGUCAGAGGGUCAGUGGUUCAGUGCUUCAAUGCUUCAGUGCUUCAAUGCUUCAAUGCUUCAAUGCUUCAAUGCUUCAGUGCUUCAGUGCUUCAGUGCUUCAGCGCUUCAGUGCUUCAGUGCUUCAGUGCUUCAGCGCUUCAGUGCUUCAGUGCUUCAGUGCUUCAGUGCUUCAGUGCUUCAGUGUUUCAGUGGUAGUGGGUAGUGAUUUAGUGGAACACUACAGUCAGCAACCGGAAUUCCAAAAUUUGUAGUGACUCAACUUGGAUUAAGCUCCUAAUACGUCAUCAUUUUGCAUCCAGAAUCGCAUCAAAAUACACUGAUUGAAUAAAAAAUGCGCAACUACACCGCCACGUUUGAAAAUCUCCGAUGGUGUUCUACUUUCAGAAAAGAAAAGUAACCGAGGUAUCUCCCUCAGAUUCUCCGUGAAUAUUGCAGAAUGAGUGAAGAAAGUUCUCCGAAAUUUUAAUGAAAAACUGCUGAUUAGUUCUGGUUGAAAAUAAUAAAACAAGAGCAGAGAUUUGUGACG